GAAGAUCCUAUCGAAAUACUCCGAGUUGAACCUUUUCUUUGUGCAUGAAGCCUCGACAUGGAUAGUGAGCCUGAGCAAUUGGUCUAAGGACUAUAAACUGGGCCAUAAAGAAGAAGAGAAGACGAAGCGAGGUCCAUCUUGGGUUUCUGAUAUUUUCGAUGACUGUGACAUUUAAUGGGUCUAAAAACCCUAAAACGUGCCAUAAAAGAGAAAAGAAGACGAAGGCAGGCCCAUCUCUUCAUCGACGAAUAGUCCACCAAUGCGUCUAGGAUAUUUUCGACGACCGUGACCCUUGAUAAAAGAGUUUUAAGGGACAAAUU